GAUCCAAUUAUACCAAUAAAGUCUCCAAUUUGGUCGAGUGAACAUCUAAAUCAGACAAGGGAGUAGGGACACACAAAAUGCCCAGACUGGAAAUCACUUUGGUUGACGUUUUGAGUUUGCUAAGGAAAUUAAAUAGUGAGGCUGCGGGGAUUCGAAAUUGGAAAACAAAAAUCAGAGAUUAGAAACAAACGGCCAAGAUCAUUUGGAUUUUAAUAAGAACGGAGGGUGCGGAUUUUGCCACGUGGAUUCGAUUUUAAAAGAUGGUUAGAGGAGAGAGAAAAGAUCAACGAGUUUCUGGUGAACCUUUCCCUCCCUUUUUCUGCUUCUUCUUCGAUCUCCUUCCUUUCUCUUCGUUCUCAAUCUCAUCUCUUUUCUCUUCAAAAUGAAGGUUAAUCAACAAUGGCGAUUUAUUUCUGUUUUAGUUAGAAUUAUCGUUUUCUAAUUUUGUAAUCGAGAACAAUUUGAAUUCUAUAAAUCCAGAAAAUUCUCAAAA